CGAACGGUAACAGGAAGCAGCUUGCUGCUUCGCUGACGAGUGGCGGACGGGUGAGUAAUGUCUGGGAAACUGCCUGAUGGAGGGGGAUAACUACUGGAAACGGUGGCUAAUACCGCAUAACGUCGCAAGACCAAAGAGGGGGACCUUCGGGCCUCUUGCCAUCAGAUGUGCCCAGAUGGGAUUAGCUUGUUGGUGAGGUAACGGCUCACCAAGGCGACGAUCCCUAGCUGGUCUGAGAGGAUGACCAGCCACACUGGAACUGAGACACGGUCCAGACUCCUACGGGAGGCAGCAGUGGGGAAUAUUGCACAAUGGGCGCAAGCCUGAUGCAGCCAUGCCGCGUGUAUGAAGAAGGCCUUCGGGUUGUAAAGUACUUUCAGCGGGGAGGAAGGUGUUGUGGUUAAUAACCGCAGCAAUUGACGUUACCCGCAGAAGAAGCACCGGCUAACUCCGUGCCAGCAGCCGCGGUAAUACGGAGGGUGCAAGCGUUAAUCGGAAUUACUGGGCGUAAAGCGCACGCAGGCGGUCUGUCAAGUCGGAUGUGAAAUCCCCGGGCUCAACCUGGGAACUGCAUUCGAAACUGGCAGGCUUGAGUCUUGUAGAGGGGGGUAGAAUUCCAGGUGUAGCGGUGAAAUGCGUAGAGAUCUGGAGGAAUACCGGUGGCGAAGGCGGCCCCCUGGACAAAGACUGACGCUCAGGUGCGAAAGCGUGGGGAGCAAACAGGAUUAGAUACCCUGGUAGUCCACGCCGUAAACGAUGUCUACUUGGAGGUUGUGCCCUUGAGGCGUGGCUUCCGGAGCUAACGCGUUAAGUAGACCGCCUGGGGAGUACGGCCGCAAGGUUAAAACUCAAAUGAAUUGACGGGGGCCCGCACAAGCGGUGGAGCAUGUGGUUUAAUUCGAUGCAACGCGAAGAACCUUACCUGGUCUUGACAUCCACAGAAGAAUCCAGAGAUGGAUUGGUGCCUUCGGGAACUGUGAGACAGGUGCUGCAUGGCUGUCGUCAGCUCGUGUUGUGAAAUGUUGGGUUAAGUCCCGCAACGAGCGCAAC
rnacentral:rRNA from 1 species